AAAAAGGGCUUCUGUCGUGAGUGGCACAGGGGGAGUGGACUGAUCCACUUCUCCUGCGGAAUCGACAUCAAGAGAUUUCGGAAGCACAAUUUUUAAAUCUCGGGACUGCUAGUGAUCGCUCAUCCUGGCGUCCCA
ensembl:snRNA RNU11-3P U11 spliceosomal RNA